rnacentral:rRNA from 1 species
UACGUAGGGUGCAAGCGUUAAUCGGAAUUACUGGGCGUAAAGCGUGCGCAGGCGGCUAUGCAAGACAGAUGUGAAAUCCCCGGGCUCAACCUGGGAACUGCAUUUGUGACUGCACGGCUAGAGUGCGGCAGAGGGGGAUGGAAUUCCGCGUGUAGCAGUGAAAUGCGUAGAUAUGCGGAGGAACACCGAUGGCGAAGGCAAUCCCCUGGGCCUGCACUGACGCUCAUGCACGAAAGCGUGGGGAGCAAACAGG